AUGGCUAUCAGUUGCUUGACC
rnacentral:siRNA from 1 species